GCAUAUCAAUAAGCGGAGGAAAAGAAACCAACCGGGAUUGCCUUAGUAACGGCGAGUGAAGCGGCAAAAGCUCAAAUUUGAAAUCUGGUACCUUCGGUGCCCGAGUUGUAAUUUGGAGAGGGCAACUUUGGGGCCGUUCCUUGUCUAUGUUCCUUGGAACAGGACGUCAUAGAGGGUGAGAAUCCCGUGUGGCGAGGAGUGCGGUUCUUUGUAAAGUGCCUUCGAAGAGUCGAGUUGUUUGGGAAUGCAGCUCUAAGUGGGUGGUAAAUUCCAUCUAAAGCUAAAUAUUGGCGAGAGACCGAUAGCGAACAAGUACAGUGAUGGAAAGAUGAAAAGAACUUCGAAAAGAGAGUGAAAAAGUACGUGAAAUUGUUGAAAGGGAAGGGCAUUUGAUCAGACAUGGUGUUUUGUGCCCUCUGCUCCUUGUGGGUAGGGGAAUCUCGCAUUUCACUGGGCCAGCAUCAGUUUUGGUGGCAGGAUAAAUCCAUAGGAAUGUAGCUUGCCUCGGUAAGUAUUAUAGCCUGUGGGAAUACUGCCAGCUGGGACUGAGGACUGCGACGUAAGUCAAGGAUGCUGGCAUAAUGGUUAUAUGCCGCCCGUCUUGAAACACGGACC
rnacentral:rRNA from 1 species